rnacentral:rRNA from 1 species
UUUGGUGGCGAUAGCGAAGAGGUCACACCCGUUCCCAUACCGAACACGGAAGUUAAGCUCUUCAGCGCCGAUGGUAGUUGGGGGUUUCCCCCUGUGAGAGUAGGACGCCGCC